CAAGGAAUGAGUUUAAGCUCAAAACAUCCUGCAAAUAUACAUACACGAAAUUAGAGAAAAAAGGGGGGAGGGUAAAAAAAAGGAAAAGGAAAUAUUAAUAUCUUCUUUCCUUUUUUUUUCCCCCUUUUUUUUUUCUUUUCUUUGGUGUAAUUUUUUAAUACAGGAAGGAAGGUCUGAGAUGCUGGCAAAAAGAAAAAAUAAGAAAAAGAGAAGAAUGAAGGUGAGCUUUUUAAGCACACCCUUAUUAGCUUUUUUUUUUUUUUAUUUUAACAUUCUUUAUACUAAUUUUUGAGAAGAAAGUUAUUGUAAAAAUAUCAAUUGGCUACUAGAAAUUUCAAUUUUAUGUUUCCAUCGUGUUUUAUAUUAUUUUGAAAAUAGCCAAUAAGCAAGUAUACACUGGUGAGUUCGAUUUUUGAGGUUUUUCCAACUUGUCAAGAACUGGUAAUGCUUUGUAUAUUUUUAUAUAUAUGCGUGCUCGUUUUGAGAUAACGGAAAAAUAACUUAAUUCAGACUACUCCUAAGUUCAUUCCAUCAC
rnacentral:RNase_P_RNA from 1 species